GAUGAACGCUGGCGGCGUGCCUAAUACAUGCAAGUCGAACGAGGUGCUUUUGUAGCAAUACGAGAGUAUCCUAGUGGCGAACGGGUGAGUAACGCGCUGGUGACCUACCCCAAAGUGUGGGAUAACAGUCCGAAAGGAUUGCUAAUACCGCAUGUGGUCUUCGGGUUUAGAAACUGAUGACUAAAGGAGCAAUUCGCUUUGGGAGGGACCUGCGUCCCAUCAGCUAGUUGGUGAGGUAAUGGCUCACCAAGGCUACGACGGGUAGGGGACCUGAGAGGGUGACCCCCCACAAUGGAACUGAAACACGGUCCAUACGCCUACGGGUGGCAGCAGUAGGGAAUAUUGCACAAUGGGCGAAAGCCUGAUGCAGCAACGCCGCGUGUGCGAUGAAGGCCUUCGGGUCGUUAAAGGCACUUUUCUGGGAGAUGAGCAAGGACAGUAUCUCAGGAAUAAGUCUCGGCUAACUACGUGCCAGCAG
rnacentral:rRNA from 1 species